rnacentral:rRNA from 2 species
GUUGACCUCGGAUCAGGUAGGGAUACCCGCUGAACUUAAGCAUAUCAAUAAGCGGAGGAAAAGAAACC